GAUGAAGAACGUAGCGAAAUGCGAUAAGUAAUGUGAAUUGCAGAAUUCAGUGAAUCAUCGAAUCUUUGAACGCACAUUGCGCCCGCCAGUAUUCUGGCGGGCAUGCCUGUUCGAGUGUCAUUACAACCCUCAGGCCCCCGGGCCUGGCGUUGGGGAUCGGCGAGGCGCCCCCCGCGGGCACGCGCCGUCCCCCAAAUACAGUGGCGGUCCCGCCGCAGCUUCCAUUGCGUAGUAGCUAACGCCUCGCAACUGGAGAGCGGCGCGGCCAUGCCGUAAAACACCCAACUUCUGAAUGUUGACCUCGAAUCAGGUAGGAAUACCCGCUGAACUUAAGCAUAUCAAUAAGCGGAGGA
rnacentral:misc_RNA from 1 species